rnacentral:lncRNA from 1 species
UUUUUUUUUUUUUUUUUUUCAGUGAGGACAGAGUCACUUGGAUACAUAUUUUCCAGUCCCUGCAAAAUGUGAGUGCUAUUUAUUCCAAGUGCAUAAGCAGCGGGCACUGAACCAAUUAUGAGACAACCACCUCGCAGACAAUGCAAGGACCUCAUUUCCUGGGUAGCUUUUGUAUUUCUCCCUGCUUUGGAAACUGUAAAACGCUGUCAGCAACAUCAAAUGUGUCAUCUUCCUGGAGCUGUAAAACCAUUCAUGACACACUGGAUUCUGCAUUCACACCGUCCAGGGAUAAGAUAUUUCCGGGUAAAUAUACCAUGUCAACAUUUACCUGUGAUUACGCCUGAAGACGCAGUUCGUAAAGCCAGGAGGAUUCGGCACCCUUCCUCUUGGCCAGCCUUCCUGGGAGAGUCAGGCCUGCUGUGACCAGAAAGCCACUGACCACAGGGCCUUUGCAUGGCCCUUCCCUGGGUCCAGAAUGUUCUUCCCCAUAUGCCUGCAUGACCCCUCCCUCUCAUUCAGACCUUACGCCGACACCUUCCCUGCCCCUCUCUGUGACAUCUUGUCAUUUCUCUAGCCCUUCCCUCACUUCAUUUUUCUUCAAAACCCCUCUCCCUGGAGUUCUCGUCGUGGCUCAGCGGUUAAUGAACCUGACUAAUAUCCAAGAGGACGUGGGUUCAAUCCCUGGCCUCGCUCAGUGGGUUAAGGAUCCAGCAUGGCGAGACGCCACCAAUCCCACUAUGCCACAGCGGGAACUCCCAUCUUGUUCAGAAAGGGCUUUAAGGUAGCUUGCUGAGAUCUUUAAAAUUCCUCAGGAAGUAAAAUCAUUUGGAAGUCUGUAAGGAAAAUGAGGCACAGGGGAAAGAAGGUUCUGGAAGUAAGAUGAUGAAAAGUAGUAUUCGGUCCUUCCUGAAUGGUGGCCGUGAGGAAGACAGGGGGUGCCUUGCCCGCUCUGGUUCACCUGCUCUCCAGCACGACAUGAUGGAUCCCAUUUGACAGAUAAGGACACUGAGGCCAGGAAGGAAGAGGCUCGGGCUCAGGAUCACUGAGCUGGCAAAAGCCAGGUGGGUGUGAGUCAGUCGUCUCUUAGCGGAUGGGACCGCCUGUGUUCUUGUUCCUGAUGCCUGGAUCGAGGAAUGUGGGGUCACCUGUGGGUGGCACAGAGCACCUGCAAAGGGCACCUCCCCAAGCCAUCACGAGCCUCCCAGCUAUCAACUCAAAGAGGGAAAUAAGAGCCAUUCCGCCAUUCAGUGUCCAUGAAAUAAGGCCACACCAGCUGCUCAGAAGGAACAUGCCCUGGACCAGCAGCCUCCGGGCACGAGUACCAGUUUCACUUUGCGCAGACUAGGAUUCCCGCUGCAGGCAACAGCCAUCCUCCAUCUGGAAAAGAAGGUGAUGGAAGGCCCUUGUGAGAGGCGGGAAUGAAGGCAGCUGGGAGGCCACCAGUGGGAAGGGCAGGUGUCCUACCCCCCAGGCUGCUGCUGGAUGCCCCGGACGGUGCCACGGGACAGUGCCACGCUGUUCAAGAGAUUCCCAACCCUGCCUCUUUGGUCCAGAGGCCGGGCCACUCACGGGCACGUCUGAUUGGCCAAGCCUGGGUCACAUGUCCGUGGCCCAGUUGCUAUGGAUACAGACCCGGAGGACUUCCCACCCACUUCCGUAGGAGUGGAUUCCUCCCCAUUGAUACCACACACAGAACAGCUGCAAAUAGGAAAAGGAGUGAGCUGGGCAGCCCCCUCCCCAAAAUGACCAAGUCCCCCACCACAUCCUGUCUGAGGAUUCCCCAGGACAGGCCCCCGUGGGGUCCACUGACAACCAGAGGCUCCGGCUGCCUGAGAAGCUGGGAGGGAGGGGCUGGUGCCUUUCUAUGUAAAUGAGGCCCCUGAGCUCUGGGGGCAGCAGAGCCCCCCAAAGGCAGGCCCACCACCCCCUGCAGGGGGCAAUGUGGGCCCCUCUGGCACAGACUCAUGGGUGCGUGGGGGAUCCUUGGCAACUCAUCAAAGCAUCUCUAUGGCGUUUCUCAUGAACACACAGCUCUGGGGGGCUGACUCUGCCCCCCCAGCACUCUCCAGGACAAACUGCCCCCCACAGCCUCUCUGGUUCCAGAACCAACGAGAUUGACAUACGCCAGUGAGAAGCUGGCACCGUCCACCAGGUGGGUGACUCGCCUUUCAGAUGUUCGUUCCAAACCCACCGGCUGGAGGGACAGAGCAGCUCGGAGCAGUUUGUUUGUUUUAGUUUGUUCUGCUUUGUUUGGUUUACUAAGCGGUGCACGUGGUCGGGGUCACAGCAUUCAAACGCUGUGCCCUGAGAAGCCUGUCUGCCCCGCUCCCUCGCUGCCCGGCUCUGCCCUGUGCCCGGAGAGGAGGGCAGAGGCCAGCCGUCAGGGACUGUCCAUUUGCCCCCCUGACCCUCUGGAUUCUGGACGUGCUUGGCCAUGGGGAACAGAGGACGAGAGAGAGGCGCUGGGCAUCGAUUCUGCCGGCCACUCCUGCCGGGCCAGGUCCCUCUGCUGAAGGCCACAGUGCCACCAGGCCGCCCUCUCCUCCAGCCUGGCCCUCUGAGGCCUGGCCCCAGCCCCCAGCCCCACCCGUCCUUGGGUAUCGGCUCCCCACUGAUGCCAGGGUGCCUCGCCGGCUCUGGCUGUCUCCUCUAACCUGCCCACGCGUCUGUAAACUCCUCUUUCAUUAGACUUGUCGUGGGCUGGACUGUGUCCCCCAGAUUCGUGCGCUGAAGCCCUGAUCCCCAGGGCCUCAGAAAGUGACAAUUAUCAGGAGGCGAGGCCUUCAAAGAGAUGAAUAAAGUCAAGUGAGGUCACCGAGGUGGGGCCCCAAUCCCUCAGGACUGGGGUCCUCAGAGCAAGAGGAUGUCAGGACACACAGAGGGACGGCCCUGCGAGGACACGGGGAGGACACGGCCGCCUACACGCCCAGGAGAGAGGCCUCGGGAGGGACCAGCCCUGCCCACCCCUGGGGCUCAGAUUCCAGCCUCCAGGACUGGGGACAGUGAAUCCUGCUGUUGAAACAAACCCCCACCCGUCCUAUUUGUUAUGGGGGCCGCACGAACACACACAAGCCCCUCUGGAGGGAGCCGACUGUUUGCUGCUGGGGCCGUUUUGAAUCUCGGCUUAGAAGGGGCUGGGCCUGCGCGGGCCCACCGCCUCCUCAUCCCGCCCUCGGAGAUGCGAGCCCCAGGGCCCUGGUUACCCCAGACCACGGAGGAGAAACCGAGAAAGGGCAGCCGCCCUCUCGCCCAAUGUGGUCCCAAUUUCUUUAGAUCGAAAUUAAAAGAGGGGCUUGGGACACGGCGCUGGAUGCUCCCUGACCUGUCAAGCCAGCCUUGGCACUGGUGGUGCCACAGGGGUCCUGCGCCGGAGCAUGGAAGUGGCUGGAAGGGGGCCUCCAACCCAAAACAACUCCGGUCGCCACCAUCAAAGACACGGAAACGGUAAACGUGCUGCAAACCCUUGGCUGUUGCUCUAGGCCCCACGAUGUGGCCGUGGGGGGCCUCAUCCUGCGCGAAGCAGCUGGCUCCCCGAGCAGGGCACCAAGGCCAGGCCUGCCUUGCUUUAGGCAUGAGCUUGCUGACCACAGGGGUGGCCGUGGGGUGGGCAGCAAGGCUGCCCUUUCAAAAUGGGACACAGCACAGCCCACCCGGUGGGCCCGACCAGCAGGCUACCCCCGAUCUGAUGCCUGCCUGUGUGAGAUGCAUGAAUCCAGCGCAUCAUAAGAGGAGCAGAAGGGUGGCCUGGGGACAUGACUUCCAGGACAAAGGAACGGACUCCGGGCAGGGCUGUCCCGCGGAUGACCAGCCCUGUGCAGGCGGCUCCAGAGCACCGUGGGGGGAGCGUCGCCGCGGCUCUGGGCGCUUUGCAGGUAUCUGAGGUCAGAGUUUCGCUCAGCCGUCUCAGAUUCCCUUCGAAAGUCUGGGAAAGCGUUAUCUCGCCUCGGAGGGGAGGGUCAGUGAGCAGCCCCCUCUCUGAGUGGCUGUGGCUAGCAUCUGUGGCUGAAAAGGGAAGGAAAGCCGCCCCAAGGGGCCUCCCCAAUGGCAGGCGUUUUCUUUCUCUGGGAAUCGCUGCCUCCCCACCCACAUCCGAAGGAGCUGGCAUUUGGGACACCACCGUCCCCUUGUGCAGAAGACCCCGUGUGACACUGAGCCUUCCAGCCACUGGAUGCACCGUUUGUGCUCAGCAAGGCCCUGCAAUCCGAUGGUGGUAUCUAAGCUUUUGUUGGCCGAGCACCUGGAAAAAGCCGAGCCGCAAGGAGCAGAUUCCCUGCAAGACGACAGAUGCCUUCUUGAUUGUCUUAAUUUUCAAACGAAACUGCACGGGAAGCGAUACUUCUCCGGAGACCAUUUCACCAUCAACUCUGAGGUCUCCACGGAGGACCCGCUGAGUAUCCCCUGGGCCCUUGGGGGUGAAAAUCCGCCAGGUGCUUCGAUGUACAGAGAAAUCUACACGCCUCCAGCCACUUAGAGACACUCUGGGGCUUGUCAUCGCCCCUUUCUUUUUUGCCAAGAGCCUUGGCAUCGAUGUUACUUACUCUGAAAAGGGGGGGGGGCUGUUUUCUUUGAUGGGGCAGUGAGCGUAAAUAUUUGCCCCAUUAAUUAGAUUCCACUUAAUUCCCCAAACUCAAACAAUAUGGGCAGCCUUUCAGCGUAAACAGGCCACAAGAUGUUACUCAUACCUGGAAAGGGGGCAGCUGAGAGUCUUCCCCCAGGCCUUCUGCCCGCAUCAUCCUGCAAACAAACAAACGGACAAAGGUUGAGCAGAGGCCAAGGAGCCCGGAGCCCGGAUUUUGGACAUAGAAAAUAAAAGGGACUAAUUAUAGGUUGCUUCUCCUGUUUCCAUAGCCUGUCAGCCAUAACAAGAAGUUCCGUCAUCAUGUGUUGCAACUAGUGUGUCUGGUCCAUCCAUGUGGCUGCCAAAUUUGGAGAGUCACGCUGGAAAGAGUUCGGGAGUGGAUUGGAAAGUUCUAGAAUCAGCAGUUCCCAUCAUGGCUCAGUGGUACCAAACCCAACUUGUAUUCGUGAGGAUGCAGGUUUGAUCCCUGGCCUUGCUCAGUGGGUUAAGGAUCCAGCAUUGCUGUGAGCUGUGGUCUAGGUCUCAGACGAGGCUGGGAUCUGGUGUGGCUGUGGCUGUGGUGUAGACUGGCGGCAACAGGUCUGAUUGGACCUCUAGCCUGGGAACGUCCAUGUGCCGACGCGGGUGAGGCC